rnacentral:rRNA from 1 species
CGACUCUCGGCAACGGAUAUCUCGGCUCUCGCAUCGAUGAAGAACGUAGCGAAACGCGAUACUUGGUGUGAAUUGCAGAAUCCCGUGAACCAUCGAGUCUUUGAACGCAAGUUGCGCCCCAAGCCAUUAGGCCGAGGGCACGCCUGCCUGGGUGUCACG